AAGAAAGAAAAAGAAAAUAGAUUUUCUUUCUCUCUCUCCUCAAGGCCUACGCGACCCCCCUCCCCCCUUCUUCUUCCCAUUUUUUUACCCAAACCCUAGCCACCGCCACCGCCUGUUGCUCCGUCGUCAGUCACCGAGCCAUCGCCGCAUUGCCAGCGCCAAGCACUGCCAUCGUCGUGUCGAUCGCCAGCGCCAUUCCUGUCGCCGCGAAAGAGCCCCGUCGUUCGUCCACCGCUGCCUCGCCGGUGUCUGGAUCGUCAGGUUGACCGUGAGCCACCGCGCCCAAGCCGUUCCACCGUGCAGACUCGCUUCUGCUGCCGAGCCCAACCGUUCAACCCUGUUUCUGCCACUGCACCCAGCCACAAGUCGACGCAUUCAACUGCCACUACCUAUUCUUGCAAAUCUUGAGUUGGAUUAGGAGUUUGGAAGAUUUUGGGGCCUUGCUAUCAAGGACGAGACCAUUCUUUUCGAUGGAAAAUUUUUGGAGUUGGGAUUGAUUUGAGUUUUAUCCAAGGGCUAUUAAGAAGUUAUUUGUGCAGACUUUUGAGACCAACUUGAGGUAAGGGCAAGGAUACUCGGGCGACUGACAAGAGGAAUCCAUGACAGUGCCAAAGGAACCAGAAUUUGCUUCCACAUUUGACCCUUUAUAUUUUCUCAUGUUUUAUUUUUCUUACAUUUAUGAUUUUAUUAUAAUUUUUUUAUACAUAAUUUAUUUCAUGUUAAAAAAAGGUACCCGGGUCGAAUGAUUUAAAAUCUUGAGAUAAUGGACACAUAUUACGUUAAUGUCUUGAACAUUUCACAUUUUAUAAAAAAAAAACCUAUUGACCUCCCUAUUUUCACUAAUAUCAGUGUUUAUUUUUAAACUCUCACCUACAUUGAUUAUAUAUGUAUGUAUUUCUCUCUCCUCUAUGCAUCAUUCUCUCCCCAUGUAUACUCUCUCCCAUGCAUAUUCUCUUUCCCCCAUGUAUAUGUUCUCUUUCCCCCAAUAAUAUAUUUCAUAUAUUCUCUCCCUCAUAAUUCACACUUAUUUCUUCCUUUUCCCUCUCUUUUCUCCUCCCCCUCCCUCUCUUUUCUCCUUCCGAUAUGAGUUGUAGACAGUAGACGACAGCGUGGGGCGAAUUGAUGGCUCGGCACGAGGUGACACAAAUGACUUGGGACGAAUUGAUGGGAGAGACAGCGUAGGACGAAUCGACAAUGAUGGGUUGAGCAUAUUUGGUCAACGGUACGGUGGGGCGAGCAAAUCUGGUAGACGACGAUGGGGAGAGAGAUCCGCGAUGACCAUGACUGAAGAAAAAUAGAUGAAGAUGGAGGGUUAUGUAUUAUAAACCCCGAAUGUGAACUUUAUUUUUUUUCUAUUUUUUUUUAUAUAUACUGUGAUACAUAUGUACUUUUUUUUAGCUUUUGUAGGAAAUUUGAUAUAUAUCAUUUUCGUUUAUUUGAUAUAAAUGACUGUUUUUUUUUUAUUUGGACUUAUUGUAUUAUGAUGAUAUAUACUAUGGUGUAAAUGAAAAUUAUGA